GCUCCCUGCGCUCGCUGCGAACGAAGUGGUGUUUCGCGCAUCUAUUUUUACCGUGUUUAUCAAUAUUACGUGCGGUUAUCGUUGUUGAAUGAACACGUACUACUUACAUCGCGUGUCGGGACGUUCGGGUCGUUGUUUGACAUGGAAUCGACGGCGGCGAUGCGUCGUCGUGGCACCAACCAACGGACGCGAGCUUUGAACAAGAGCGCAAGCGCGGGCCGUUUGACGAGACAGUCGCCGCAGCGGAUACAACACCUCGGUAAGAGUGCCUGGGCGGGCGGCCAGUUACCACAGAAGGGAUGCUGCGCAAGAGCAAGGGCCUGCUAAAAAACUCAAGAGACUGAAGUGGUGGACAGCUUGCUGUGAAAGAUGGAAGCGUUCUUCCUGCAAGUCUGGACAAGGCCAUAUUAAAUGGCUUCAUCUGUCACAAAUCGCUGGCCACGAAUGUAAAGAAUACCUUGGCCCCACUUCUGUCGAGGGAACCGAAGUUGCCUGAACAGAUGAAGAGGGGUGGUGCUACCAAUAGUGAACGACUGUGAUUUUAUAAUGUGCAAGUGUAUGAAAAAUCUUGUUACACUAAUUUAACGUUAAUUGCAUUCACUAGUCAAGUGUCAAUAUUGUAAUGUGUAAGUUUAUGCACAGUUGCAUUAAGUGAGCGCUCAUUCAAGCUUCAAGUUCGCAAUCAUAUAUUUUGGUGGUAUUCAUAGGGCACACAUUCCACUUUAAAUUGUGAUCUGCUCCUUUACUGAGGGUGCAUGCAGGUCCUUGAAACGAUUGAAAACCCUUGAAAAAGUAAAAGUACAUUUUUAAAGCCCUGAAACCCUUGGAAUUUCUUAGCAUAUAGUGUCCAAUAUUGACAAUACUAAUUUCUUUCGGUGUUCUGUAAACAUUUGUCUAGCAAACUGAGGGAACAUGUCAUGCUCAGUGAUGAUUCGGCUACUCUGUUUACCUUGCUUGCAUCACUGCUUUACCGAUCAUUUCAUUUCCGCAACUGUCGGUCCGCCUUCUCCCCCUUUCUCUUGAUUUGGCUUCUUGGGACUCGACUUCACUUCCAGCGCUUAUGCUAGUUUCUCUUCUUCUAUAGCAAGCUCACUACUUGUGAUAGAUCUUCUAGCUCAACAAACAUCCACUGUCCUAUAAUGCAGGCAAAAUGUGAA